UACAGAGGUGGCAAGCGUUGUUCGGAAUUACUGGGCGUAAAGGGCGCGUAGGCGGUCUGGUAAGUCCCGUGUGAAAUCCCUCGGCUCAACUGAGGAAUGGCACGGGAAACUGCUUGGCUUGAGUUCGGGAGAGGGAAGCGGAAUUCCGGGUGUAGCGGUGAAAUGCGUAGAUAUCCGGAGGAACACCGGUGGCGAAGGCGGCUUCCUGGACCGACACUGACGCUGAGGCGCGAAAGCUAGGGGAGCAAACAGG
rnacentral:rRNA from 1 species